rnacentral:RNase_P_RNA from 1 species
AGAGUAGAUCAAGCGAUCGCAGGAUAAACCCCAAAAAAGGGUUGUCUUGAGGAAAGUCCGAACACCAUAGGGCAGGACGCUCCAUAACGUGGAGUCGCGGCAACGUGAAGGAAAGUGCAACAGAGAGCAGACCGCCAGCUUUAUAUUGUUUAUCAAACUUGAUUAUCAAGUUGAUUUACUGAUAUGGUGCUGGUAAGGGUGAAACGGUGCGGUAAGAGCGCACCAGUUUUUCAGGUGACUGAAAAAGCUUGGUAAACCCCGUUCGGUGCAAGACCAAAUAGGGAGGCGUUUGAGGGCUGCCCGCCUGAAGCCUUCGGGUAGGUCGCAUGAGGUGUGCGGCAACGUACAUCCAAGAUGAAUGAUCGCUGCUUUAUAUUUUUGGCAACUAAAUAUAAAGAACAGAAUUCGGCUUACGAGCUGCUCUCACC